GAAUCUGCCCUCAGGAGGGGGAUAACGGUUGGAAACGACCGCUAAUACCCCAUAUGCCGAGAGGUGAAAUGAAAUUCGCCUGAGGAUGAGCUCGCGUCUGAUUAGCUAGUUGGUGGGGUAAAGGCCUACCAAGGCAUCGAUCAGUAGCUGGUCUGAGAGGAUGAUCAGCCACACUGGGACUGAGACACGGCCCAGACUCCUACGGGAGGCAGCAGUGGGGAAUUUUCCGCAAUGGGCGCAAGCCUGACGGAGCAACGCCGCGUGAGGGAUGAAGGCCUCUGGGCUGUAAACCUCUUUUCUCAAGGAAGAAGAACUGACGGUACUUGAGGAAUAAGCCACGGCUAAUUCCGUGCCAGCAGCCGCGGUAAUACGGGAGUGGCAAGCGUUAUCCGGAAUUAUUGGGCGUAAAGCGUCCGCAGGCGGCCUUGAAAGUCUGUCGUUAAAGCGUGGAGCUUAACUCCAUUUCGGCGGUGGAAACUACAAGGCUUGAGUGUGGUAGGGGCAGAGGGAAUUCCCGGUGUAGCGGUGAAAUGCGUAGAUAUCGGGAAGAACACCAGUGGCGAAGGCGCUCUGCUGGGCCAUAACUGACGCUCAUGGACGAAAGCUAGGGGAGCG
rnacentral:rRNA from 1 species